rnacentral:rRNA from 1 species
UUAAGUUAUUAAGGGCGCACGGUGGAUGCCUUGGCACUAGAAGCCGAUGAAGGACGUUACUAACGACGAUAUGCUUUGGGGAGCUGUAAGUAAGCUUUGAUCCAGAGAUUUCCGAAUGGGGAAACCCAGCAUGAGUUAUGUCAUGUUAUCGAUAUGUGAAUACAUAGCAUAUCAGAAGGCACACCCGGAGAACUGAAACAUCUUAGUACCCGGAGGAAGAGAAAGAAAAUUCGAUUCCCUUAGUAGCGGCGAGCGAAACGGGAAGAGCCCAAACCAACAAGCUUGCUUGUUGGGGUUGUAGGACACUCUGUACGGAGUUACAAAGGACGACAUUAGACGAAUCAUCUGGAAAGAUGAAUCAAAGAAGGUAAUAAUCCUGUAGUCGAAAAUGUUGUCUCUCUUGAGUGGAUCCUGAGUACGACGGAGCACGUGAAAUUCCGUCGGAAUCUGGGAGGACCAUCUCCUAAGGCUAAAUACUCUCUAGUGACCGAUAGUGAACCAGUACCGUGAGGGAAAGGUGAAAAGCACCCCGGAAGGGGAGUGAAAUAGAACCUGAAACCGUGUGCUUACAAGUAGUCAGAGCCCGUUAAUGGGUGAUGGCGUGCCUUUUGUAGAAUGAACCGGCGAGUUGCGAUUUGAUGCAAGGUUAAGCAGUAAAUGUGGAGCCGUAGCGAAAGCGAGUCUGAAUAGGGCGUUUAGUAUUUGGUCGUAGACCCGAAACCAGGUGAUCUACCCUUGGUCAGGUUGAAGUUCAGGUAACACUGAAUGGAGGACCGAACCGACUUACGUUGAAAAGUGAGCGGAUGAACUGAGGGUAGCGGAGAAAUUCCAAUCGAACCUGGAGAUAGCUGGUUCUCUCCGAAAUAGCUUUAGGGCUAGCCUCAAGUGAUGAUUAUUGGAGGUAGAGCACUGUUUGGACGAGGGGCCCCUCUCGGGUUACCGAAUUCAGACAAACUCCGAAUGCCAAUUAAUUUAACUUGGGAGUCAGAACAUGGGUGAUAAGGUCCGUGUUCGAAAGGGAAACAGCCCAGACCACCAGCUAAGGUCCCAAAAUAUAUGUUAAGUGGAAAAGGAUGUGGCGUUGCCCAGACAACUAGGAUGUUGGCUUAGAAGCAGCCAUCAUUUAAAGAGUGCGUAAUAGCUCACUAGUCGAGUGACACUGCGCCGAAAAUGUACCGGGGCUAAACAUAUUACCGAAGCUGUGGAUUGUCCUUUGGACAAUGGUAGGAGAGCGUUCUAAGGGCGUUGAAGCAUGAUCGUAAGGACAUGUGGAGCGCUUAGAAGUGAGAAUGCCGGUGUGAGUAGCGAAAGACGGGUGAGAAUCCCGUCCACCGAUUGACUAAGGUUUCCAGAGGAAGGCUCGUCCGCUCUGGGUUAGUCGGGUCCUAAGCUGAGGCCGACAGGCGUAGGCGAUGGAUAACAGGUUGAUAUUCCUGUACCACCUAUAAUCGUUUUAAUCGAUGGGGGGACGCAGUAGGAUAGGCGAAGCGUGCGAUUGGAUUGCACGUCUAAGCAGUAAGGCUGAGUAUUAGGCAAAUCCGGUACUCGUUAAGGCUGAGCUGUGAUGGGGAGAAGACAUUGUGUCUUCGAGUCGUUGAUUUCACACUGCCGAGAAAAGCCUCUAGAUAGAAAAUAGGUGCCCGUACCGCAAACCGACACAGGUAGUCAAGAUGAGAAUUCUAAGGUGAGCGAGCGAACUCUCGUUAAGGAACUCGGCAAAAUGACCCCGUAACUUCGGGAGAAGGGGUGCUCUUUAGGGUUAACGCCCAGAAGAGCCGCAGUGAAUAGGCCCAAGCGACUGUUUAUCAAAAACACAGGUCUCUGCUAAACCGUAAGGUGAUGUAUAGGGGCUGACGCCUGCCCGGUGCUGGAAGGUUAAGAGGAGUGGUUAGCUUCUGCGAAGCUACGAAUCGAAGCCCCAGUAAACGGCGGCCGUAACUAUAACGGUCCUAAGGUAGCGAAAUUCCUUGUCGGGUAAGUUCCGACCCGCACGAAAGGCGUAACGAUUUGGGCACUGUCUCAACGAGAGACUCGGUGAAAUCAUAGUACCUGUGAAGAUGCAGGUUACCCGCGACAGGACGGAAAGACCCCGUGGAGCUUUACUGUAGCCUGAUAUUGAAAUUCGGCACAGCUUGUACAGGAUAGGUAGGAGCCUUUGAAACGUGAGCGCUAGCUUACGUGGAGGCGCUGGUGGGAUACUACCCUAGCUGUGUUGGCUUUCUAACCCGCACCACUUAUCGUGGUGGGAGACAGUGUCAGGCGGGCAGUUUGACUGGGGCGGUCGCCUCCUAAAAGGUAACGGAGGCGCUCAAAGGUUCCCUCAGAAUGGUUGGAAAUCAUUCAUAGAGUGUAAAGGCAUAAGGGAGCUUGACUGCGAGACCUACAAGUCGAGCAGGGUCGAAAGACGGACUUAGUGAUCCGGUGGUUCCGCAUGGAAGGGCCAUCGCUCAACGGAUAAAAGCUACCCCGGGGAUAACAGGCUUAUCUCCCCCAAGAGUUCACAUCGACGGGGAGGUUUGGCACCUCGAUGUCGGCUCAUCGCAUCCUGGGGCUGUAGUCGGUCCCAAGGGUUGGGCUGUUCGCCCAUUAAAGCGGUACGCGAGCUGGGUUCAGAACGUCGUGAGACAGUUCGGUCCCUAUCCGUCGUGGGCGUAGGAAAUUUGAGAGGAGCUGUCCUUAGUACGAGAGGACCGGGAUGGACAUACCUCUGGUGUACCAGUUGUCGUGCCAACGGCAUAGCUGGGUAGCUAUGUGUGGACGGGAUAAGUGCUGAAAGCAUCUAAGCAUGAAGCCCCCCUCAAGAUGAGAUUUCCCAACUUCGGUUAUAAGAUCCCUCAAAGAUGAUGAGGUUAAUAGGUUCGAGGUGGAAGCAUGGUGACAUGUGGAGCUGACGAAUACUAAUCGAUCGAAGACUUAAUCAA